GAACUGUGUCAUCUUGGAAGCGUGUGUCAACAGAAUUCUAUCCAACCACCAGCCGGUGACAUUGCCAGAAUUAAAACUGCAUUGGGCCAUUCACAGGAACCUCCUUAUUUAUGGACCACCGGUGGGAGGCGCUGUAUUUAAUUGUUGGAGUCAAUGAUCUCGAGGUCCAACCGUGACAACAUCUAGAUACCUGCAGCAGCCGUCCUACUGACUUAAACAUUAAUAGCCGACAAAUUGAACUGUGUCAUCUUGGAAGCGUGUGUCAACAGAACUCUAUCCAACCACCAGCCGGUGACAUUGCCAGAAUUAAAACUGCAUUGGGCCAUUCACAGGAACCUCCUUAUUUAUGGACCACCGGUGGGAGGCGCUGUAUUUAAUUGUUGGAGUCAAUGAUCUCGAGGUCCAACCGUGACAACAUCUAGAUACCUGCAGCAGCCGUCCUACUGACUUAAACAUUAA